rnacentral:lncRNA from 1 species
AGGCAGUAAUGUUGACCAAAGCCAGGACGAGGAUACUCUCUACAGCCUGACAGGCAGAUUCUUGCUGUUCUGAGUCCUUGGAUGCAAGGAACGGAUGAUUCUCGUCUUUGACAAGAACAAGCACCAGAGAAGAAAAAGAAAUAUUUAAUUUCAGAGAGCCACAAGGGACCUUAGAAGUCCUCUGUGUAGCCAAAGACUUUCAAGUGGUGUGAUUCAUGUCUACCAGCUGUCGGGGUGCAGAGGCUUCUUUGAUUUCACUUCCCAUGGAGCCCCAGCACCACACCAAGUGCCUAGAGCAUAGCAGACCCCAGUAAUAACAAGGAUGCAGGAAAAAAAGUCUGGUGCUCGCUUUGAGACAUUACAAUCAGAUGCAGCAUUCUCUCUGGUGUCCGUGUCUGUUUUGUCAUCUGCCAACUCCUUGCUCACCUGACCGGUAUCCUGGUUCCCCACCGGUUGUACGACCGACUGAGUCUAUCUGUGGCAUGUAAGGAAGAUGAAGUUUACCUUAGUAAGGACUGACCAUGAAUCAAGAGUUUCUUACUUAUCAGUGGCUAUGAGGGUGCAAAUCUCAGAGCCUGUAAACAGUUCCUGCCUACUCUGUCCACUGCUGUCACCCCACUCUUUCUCCACUAUACUACACAAAGAAGCUCAGCAGGUGUGUGGCAGAUG